CCUGACUGCUAUCGGAUUGAUACUAAGCCAUGCGAGUCAUUGUAGCAAUACAAGGCAUACGGCUCAGUAACGCGUAGUCAAUCUAACCUAUGGACGGGGAUAACCUCGGGAAACUGAGAAUAAUACCCGAUAGAACAUUAUGCCUGGAAUGGUUUAUGUUUCAAAUAAUUUAUUGCCGUAGGAUGGGACUGCGGCCUAUCAGUUUGUUGGUGAGGUAAUGGCCCACCAAGACUAUUACAGGUACGGGCUCUGAGAGGAGUAGCCCGGAGAUGGGUACUGAGACACGGACCCAGGCCCUAUGGGGCGCAGCAGGCGAGAAAACUUUGCAAUGUGCGAAAGCACGACAAGGUUAAUCCGAGUGGUUUCUGCUAAAGGAACCUUUUGUUAGUCAUAGAACCACUAAUGAAUAAGGGGUGGGCAAGCCUGGUGUCAGCCGCCGCGGUAAAACCAGCACCUCAAGUGGUCAGGAUGAUUAUUGGGCCUAAAGCAUCCGUAGCCUGCUUUGUAAGUUUUCGGUUAAAUCCAUACGCUUAACGUAUGGGCUGCCGGGAAUACUGCACAGCUAGGGAGUGGGAGAGGUAGACGGUACUCGGUAGGAAGGGGUAAAAUCCUUUGAUCUAUCGAUGACCACCUGUGGCGAAGGCGGUCUACCAGAACACGUCCGACGGUGAGGGAUGAAAGCUGGGGGAGCAAACCGGAUUAGAUACCCGGGUAGUCCCAGCUGUAAACUAUGCAAACUCGGUGAUGCAUUGGCUUGAUGCCAAUGCAGUGCCGCAGGGAAGCCGUUAAGUUUGCCGCCUGGGAAGUACGUACGCAAGUAUGAAACUUAAAGGAAUUGGCGGGGGAGCACCACAAGGGGUGAAGCCUGCGGUUC
rnacentral:rRNA from 1 species